GCUUUUCGUUUUGCUGCCCGUUCAUUUCGCUUGGCAAAAGGCUGGUUAUAGAAGCGGGGGGACGUCGCAGCUGUCGUGUUUGCGGUUUGCCUCGCCGCAAUCAGGCUCGCGCUCGCGGGGCCGUGAUUGCGGUAGCCUCCGCCUCAUUUGCAUUGAUGAGGCCGUGGUAGCGGACGGGGCGCAGCGCAGCGCCCGACUCAAUCACAGCGCUCGGCAUGAGCACGGGGAGCCGGGCAUCCGCCGCGCGGCGCCUCAGCCCACCCCGCGUUACGGCCGCUCCUGCGAAAUGGUCCGAACGAGCAACUCCGAAGAUGCGUGUUAAUUGAGGGGCCGGCAUUUCCUUGCGCUCUACUUAUUGGAUAUAACGAUGAUGUGCUCUUCAGUCCCCCAGGAUCCCCCCAAACCGUCCUACCUGGAGUCCUUGAUACUUUUAGGACGGGCAAGAAGAUUUGUGUUCCAUAUCCCAAAGGGUUGCUCUCUCCACCCCCCCCCCCCCCCCCCCCCCCCCCCCCCCCCCCCCCCCCUUUGUUCAUUGUUUACACGGAUGAAGAGAAGGGCCCUGGGUUAUUUGUUUUUCUUUCCUUCCCCCACCCCCCCCACCCCAACCCCCCCCCUUUUUUUUCUUUCCUCCCUUUUUUCCCGAUAUGUGAUCGCUUUGCAUACAGGACAAAAUGUUUCAGUGUUUUAAAUGCCGAAGUAUUCAAAGCAUUCGCACCCCCAAACCACGCACUGUGCCUCCCCCAGAGAAUGCUUUUUCCACCGAAGUUAGAAAUGUCUAAGAAUAGAACACAGUCGUUUCCCUCUGUACCCCCUGGACCCACAAUGUCCUGAGUUUCUCAUAGCGAUUAAUCUGAGAUCUAUUUUCCCACCACUGUCCUGGAUGUGGGUAUUGAAAUCAUCAUCUGUGCUUUGAAAAAAUAAAAUAAAAUAGUAAUAAUUUAAAAAGAACAAAAUAAACAUUUUGUAAAAAAGAAAAAAAAAGAAGAAAAUGGAAGAAGUGAUAAUUCGGAGCUAAAGCGUGCAGUUCAAAAGCUGAAGCUCCCAUUGGAGAACAGAAAAUUUAAUGAGCUUUUAAUGGAAUGCAAUGCUCGGAGUAGUAAAUUAUUUGUUAGUUGACGAUGCAAUCAGCAUGCUGAUUAAGGUCGCUUGGUUUUUUACCAAACAUUAACUGAAUGAAAGCGGUUAGCCCGCGUUGUUCUGCUUGGGGGGCUCCGGCGAAGCAAAUGGACUUUAAGAACAGCGACUGUCAAUAAAGGGCAAGGGACGAAAAGAAGGAAUAUUUAUUAAAUGUUUACACUGCAAUUAGUGGCACAGACUGCUCGAGUUCUCCCCUACUGAAGAUGGUGCUGUUCCGGGUUCAGCUCCUCCUGAAGACCUUCAGGACUUCGGGCUGUCUCUUCUGUAAAGGAAGAAACAUCAGAAGCCUACAGGAAAUAAACUGCUGCACAACUUGCAUUACCAUGCACCUCAUCACUGUGUAACAGGUGACUUUUUGGCACUAACACCGCAAAGUCAUCCGAUGCAGAAAUGGCUAAGAAAAUUUAGAAACGAAGGAAAAGAUCCUCGUGAUCUACUGCAAUGACGAAGUUUCAGGAAAUGCACCAUGCACAGUCUAUGAAAAAAUCUGUGGAAUGUUCCUGUGUCUGCACAUCCAUCAUCUGAGCAGGGCAUACUGCGGGCAGUGCUCCCUGAGACACUUUGUUUGGGCCUGGCAAGAUGCCUGCUGCCCGUCACAAUAAUGGUUCAUUUUCCGCUGUUCUGAACUCCGUGAUCCUCCUACUUAUUAUUUUGCUUAUUUUUAAAUAGGAAUCUCUCUGGAAAAUAUAUAUAUAAUUUCCUUUUUCUGGUCACGAUGAGACAUGGUACUAGUGGGCUUCUCAUAGGCAUGCUUGACUGCAGACUUCCUGUGGUCCUUCUGCCCUUAUGUAUACCACCCACUCUUGGAGCACACCCAAAGCUUGCAGAUUUGCUCUACGGAAUGACAGUGCUUAAGCUGAUGGGCAUAGUUGUAAUGUAGCAUGGAGGUUCAGAUGUGAGGGUUUUACAACUGAGAAUGUCAUGUGGUGAGAAAAGCCCAAACACCAGAAGGUUUACACCAGAAGGUGUAAAAAAAUACCUUCACAUGGCUACAUGUAGUAUUCCUGGCCUGUGGACAAAGGAAUGCUUUGAGCUGGGAAAGACAUCAAAGCCCAUACAGAUCCAAUGCCCUGUGAACAAGGACACCUCCCAAAGGAGCAUGAGAAGGAGCUGCAUGAUAUCAAUCCAUUGAUAUUUGAGUCAUGAUACCACUGAUGCUGUCCAGAGCUUGCUCACCACCACAGCAAUGUGUAAAUACACAAACACAAUGAAGGCCCCUUGCCUAAGGUGGAAGAGUAUAUCCCCUCCUUGCCUGGCUGGGAGCCCGCUUGGCUCCCCACUACCCAGCAGCAGUGCCCUCCUCGUUCUGACUCAUCAAAUAAUCCUUUCAAAUCAGCACUGAUAAUGUUUGGUUGGUUUUUUUGUUUUUUAUUUUUAUUUAACCAGGCUGAAUCCCAAGUCUGUCCUAACUCUGUUUUUCCAAUCAGUCUGUUUGUUUAAGUGAGAAGAAAACAAUUUAAAUCAGUUCCUUGCAAUCUUUGGUUAUUUAUAGAUAAAAUGAUUUACAUGUUUGUGAGCUCUCUGCUGAUGACACAGUAUUACCAAAGGCUUUUCUUUGGGGAAUACAGCACCAUUUAGGUUUAUUUUCUUGUUUUCCACAUCAUGUUCUGAUUUCUUACACGAAAUAACUCAUUCUCUCUGUCUCUUUCCAUUUCCUUAAGAUAAAACCCCCAAUUUUGGCUAUGUUUAUUUAAGAAAGUAAUGUCAUUUAUCAAUUUUCUUACUUGGAAGUAGGAUUUAAUUUUUGUUUGGAGCCCAUGUGCUGAAAUCACCUGCUUUUCCCCCCUAUGAUGAAAGGAACACAGAUUUUUACUAAAAAAUCCUGAAGAAUUUUUUAUCCACGUGCAAUGGCAAAUCCUGCAGCCUGGAAACCAAGGACCAUUCUGUUAUAGGUGGAUGUUAAAGAUUCGCUUAGGAAUUCCCUGUUUAAUAAAUGGUCACUGCACACAGUGUGUUGUCUGCAGUCUUCUCUGCAAAGGGAUAUUUCCCCAUUUGUGCCUGUGAUGGCGUUUAAGUCUUGUUAGUGUUACGUAUGGAAUACACUCAUUAACAGGAAUUAAUAGUGAAUAUUUGAAUAUGCAUAUAUCCAAAAUAAAAGAGAAAAUUCAGUGACAGUCAGUUAGUCAGAAAUAAUUGUAGCUGUCAAAUUUCCUAAGUACGUUGCGUGCAAAUGAUAGUACUACUCUGAUUUCAUGGGAGUGAGAAGGAUGUUUUGCACACAUACACACACAAUUCAAAUGUGCUUUUCCACUUUUUAUUUUGCAAUUUAUUGUGAAAAAAAUGUAAAAAAAAAAAGUUUCUCAGUUAUAUGUGAUAAGGAAUAAUCAUUACUUCAUCAAACUAUUAAGCCCACAGGACCAGGCAGACACUCAGACUGAGCCCAUGGGUGAGAUGCUCAUGCCCCAGCCCUGAACCGUUUGAACAUCACUGGGGUGAGAUUUGCCAAGUCCAACCCCUUAAAAAGUGGCCCAGCCACCAUGGGUUUUGGGGACAGUGUGGGACAUGCACAGAAGUGUCUCAGACAACUGCAAAAAAGGCCUUAUAUACAUAUUGAGGAUGAUUUUAAAAAAUGCAUAAAGUUUGACACAAAAACAGAGUUGUCUGAGAUGUGAUUGAACUUCAGGGUGUCUUCAGAGUUGGAGGAGCGUUUGUCUUUCACAGAUACAAGUCUGUCUUCUCUUACAUUUGCCUGAACAUUUACGUAUUCACAUCGGCACUGAAUAUAAUCAUUGGAAAAUACCUGAUGGAGAUAAACAGAUUGUAAAAAAAUAGAAAACAAAAGUGAUUUUCUAGCCUUGCUGGGGUCCACUGAAUAUGUUAAGGAAGCGAUGGUUUCCCUCUCAUUUAAGGAGUGGAAGAUAUCCUUCCUUCAGAUAACAACCCCUCUCAAGCUCAAUAAUUUGCACUCAGAUAGAGUCUUCUCCAUGGUUUUCAUUUUUAAGUUUUACUGAAAAUUUAGAGAAGCUGCAAUUUCAAGUGCACAGAUGGUGCAUUUUCCAAAAAUAUGUGAUUUGCACACCAUACUUCAGCAACUACUCAAGCAGACAGAAAGCUCCAAUUCGACUGAAACUGGAGAGGAAACCCAUGCAAUGCCCACCACCACCACCACCACCAUUAUUGUAAUAGUUGCAACCCGAGUGAUGGUUCAGUGGAGAAGCUGGAAUAACACAUCUGCCCAGCAUCCUUGGUGUCAGACGCCAGUCUGUGCCUGGGCACCACUGCUAUGCUCUCUGUGAAUAGGUGCUUCUUCUUGUGAGCAGGGCUGCUGCAGCACAGGCUUGCAAUGUCUGUCUGGCUGUCUGCAGCUCUGUCUCUGUGACUCAAUUUCUCACAGAGGGAGUGUAAUAUAGCCUCUCUAUCUGCAAGGGCUUCUCUGAAAGCAGUGCCUCCUAGCAGACUGUAUUGGCCCAUGUUGGCAGAGGCAAUAAGACAGUAGAAGUUGAACAUUCACAGCAAUAAAUAUUCCAUUAAACAUUGUUUCCAUGUGACAGAUGGCAGCAGAGGGGCAAUCUGAUAAAAUGGCGUCUGAUACAGAAGUGUGUAUGGAGCGAAGGUGUAUCACUGGAUUCCCUCCUGCGGAAAAAAAUGGACACUUGCUGACCAUUUAUGGAGACCAAACAGUGGAUAUGAGCACACUGAGGUGGUGGGUGCUGCGUUUCAGCAAUGGCCGCAGUGACAGAGGGUUGCCUCCACUAACGCAGAUCAUUAUGAGCGUGGCAUGAAGCUUCUUGUUCAUCACCGGCAAAAAAUACAUAGCAUUGACUGUGUUGGAAAAAAAAAAAAAAAAAGAGUUUUGCAGCUGUGAAUUUUCUUGAUCAAAUGGUGUUACUGUGCUCUUUGUAUCUAUUGUAGUUUCCACUUACGUACAUAGGAGGCAUUACUUUUGGAGCAACCCAUGUAUGCUAUUACACUCAUAUUUUUGUCUAUUUGCUAAAAAUGCUUGAGUUAGACUGUUUGGCCUUUCUCUGUGCUAUUGUGUGCUCAUUCAGAGAGAUCCCUGUUUUGGCUAAUAACAUUUCUGUGGAGCAGGUACACAGAAGAGGGGACAGGUAAAUACAGCAAACUUCAAGAAGCUCUCUGCAGGAGAAGCUUUAACCUUGUGAUGACAGUCUUCCACAAAGCCUGAGUAGGCAGGACUAUCAUGAUUAAUGGUAAUUGCACCACUGUUGCUGCUUUUAUCUCUAGUUACUCUGUGCAAGACUGCAUGGAAGAAGACACUGCACCCAUCCAAUAUGCUUACGGGCUGCAGUGGGCUCACUCAGAUUUAGAGUGUUUGGCCUAAGGCAGAUCCAUUUGGAACUCCGGAUUCACUUAUCUCUCCUCAGAAAUAAAAUAAAACCUUUGGGAGGACUCAAGAAUCUCCCAGAAAGGAGAUACUCAGCAGGAGCAUUGAAUUCAUAGUAGAAAGGGGAAUAAAAGUAUAGUGAAGAACUGUGAAAUUGGCCAAUGGAACUGCAAGGUGUCAUGGAUGUUGUUCUUGCUGUUCCCUGCCCCUUUUUAACCAGUGGCACUUACUGCUUUAGACAGUCAGUUUUGCAGAGGCAGGGAACAUUCUCAUCUUUGUGCAUAUGCUACAAGAGCCAGCCCUGAUCCUCCCUACAGCCUCUGAGUACCACAUGCCAUAUAGAGAGAGCUUUCUGCUUGUAGGACUGCAUCCCUGUUGCUGCUGCUUCUCCUUCUUCCUCUUCCCCUUCUGCCUCUUCUCCAUCAUCUUCUUUUAUUUUCUUAAACUUAGAAUUCCCAGGCAAGACAUUUCACUGAUUUAGAAAGUUUAAUCCUGAGGCCGGGUUGCAGUUAUAGGACACACUGUAGGUGCAGAAAUCAGAGCUGCUGUCACAUGGUAUGCUCUCAUACAGGCGUAAUUAAUGACAUAAUUAAUUUGGAAAUAUUUAUAGCUGGGCUAGUUUCUUUUGAGCUCUCCCUCAUGUUCCUGGAUCUGUCCAGAGGCUGACCAGAUGAAACUUCGAUCUGUGUUUCACCAUUUGAUAUCUGGGCUAAGUUCAACAGAAACAGGUUGAUAUAUGGUAGUUUUGAUUUAUUUUAAAGCAGGUAUGGAAUUAGUUUGAGCUUGUCACUGCCUUGGCAGGGAAAAUAAACAUUAAAUAGAAACGUCGAUCACAUUUGCAUUUGCACCAUUGACUGUGUUUACCUGAAUUAUCAUCCUGCAGCAGACACCUCUGUUAUGCUUUGAUCUUGCACUACCAAAGGUAUUUUACAAGAAGAAGUCAUUUAAAAAAGCCCACACAAUUAUGACAGUUUCUGUAAUGCUCAUUGAGUAAUAUAAGAUGCAGGGCUUUUCAUCUUAAUUUUGAUGUGCUGUGGUGUAGAAUUAAAAAAAUAAUGAAGUGUUUUAAGGAAUCCCUAGAUUCCCCAUCCUCCUCCCUCCCUCCACCCCCCCCCUCCGGGCCCAGAGCAGCAGCAGAGUUGUGUACGUAAUGCAAAGGGCAAUGCAAAACAGACUGGAUUUCCCCCCCAGUGGGAAGAUGUGUAGGUUGAUUAGAUACCAAGUAACAAAACAAUGGUGUUGUUGAGUUAAUUGGUGUAAAACAUUUCAUGGAGCUUGUUAUUCUUCAAAUUAUGUUUGUGUGUAGCUCCAAAGUACGGCUGCUGCCUCCAAGCCUGAAAUGCCUCAGACUUAACAGCUUUUUCACUUACACUCUGUAAUUGCCAUGCUGUGAGAAAAGGAGGGAAGCUGAUCUUUUGUACGGAAGGUAAAUGGGCCUGAGGAAGAAGUCCUACUAGCAACAUUGAAGUCUGAAAAUGUCAACAGAUUGAAAUUUGCAGUUAAUUAACUAAUUGUUCAAUUUAAUGGGUAACUCACACAUAUUUUCCUUUCCUGUUACAAAGUAUUAUACAUUAAACAGUCAUGUACGCGUAUAAUUUUUAGUAUGCAUUAGUAAUGAAGACAUUCCCAUUCUCCACCAUCAGGCCCUGAUAUCACCAUGGAAAUCAUGAUCUCCAACUGACUUAAAGUCAAUCAAACACUGAAUUACUGGAGAGGAGGAGACUGGUGUUUAUGAUACAACACCUCCAUCAGACGUGCAGCUAAAUCGCUAAGGACAGAGUUUGCCCCAUGACUGGUAUGCAUCUCACAACCCUGGAAGUGCAGAAGUUUUAUCACUUUGCAAAGCACAGUGCUUUAUGGAUGGCUUUUAAAUUUGCAGCCCCUCAGAUGCCACCUGCCAUUGUUUUCUCUGAGCUCCUCUUUACAGCCAGCAGUGAGAUUUCUGCUCUUAAGGAAGCAAGGACAGCUCACUGCUGUUUCCAAAAUGAGGUAUCUCUGUGCCACUGUGCACAGGCCACCCAAGAGAGACAUCCCUCCUUGAGUGCUUCCUUACACCCACAUAAAGCCCACGUUUGUUAUAUGGUGGGAGUGGAUUUUUCUGCUCUAUUCCAAGUAAAAGGAUGACCGUUCUAUUUCUUUCCCAAAAGACUGCAUUGUGUACAACUACAAUAACACAUCUGCUCAUAAAAUGGGCAUGCAAGACUCUGCUGUGAAGAAUCAAGGUUGUGGGCAUUUGUUCACAGCGACUGGUAAUAUAUUGCUCGCUAUCAUCUGACAGAUUGCUAAUAAGGCACAGCUGCUUUAUGUGUUCAUGGUUCCUUCAGCUACUCUCCACAGUGGAAUGGGAGAUGCAGCAUGUAGAGGCAAAAGUGUUUCCCAUUUGUUUGCUUCCAGUAGGGUAAAAAAAAACAAAACAAAUAAGCAAAAAAACACCUCAGAUGAUUAUUUUAGAGAUAAACCCUACAACUAACAGUGAAUAUUCCCAUAAUGACUGAUGACAGUUUCAUACAGGGCUCUGUGUGCGAAUGAACAGUUUUGUUCCUUAAAGACUUUAAUGCUGUAUAUUGGAAAAAAAAAAAAAAAGAAAGAAACCUCAACAUGGAAUAGGUCUUCUAUGUAUGGACAUUCGCAGCAUCAUUCAGGCAAUCAUUUACAAAAAUGAUAAAAGAAGUAAUUCUGUCAUUUUGUGAAAAUCAUGUUGUCUCGCUCCUUACAUUUAAAAAAUUAGUAUAGACAAACCAGACAGAAUUUUGUUCCUCACCUCUGUUUGAGCUACCUCCUUUGAAGUCAUUAAGGUAAUCCCUUACUGGUGAGCACUGUCUAAAUAACUUGUUAAAGAAUAAAUUCUUUGUUAAGUCCUAUGUAGAAAAAAUAAAUGAUUGCAAAAGGGAUACCUCUUCCAUGGAUGAGAUACUUAAAUAAUCCUGUUCUUUAAAGAUCAGUGAUGAUCAAGGUAAUGGCUCAGCUACUUUUCUUUUCUAUUGUAUAAAUAGCACUUGUAAAAAGAUCUGGAUCACAGAAUCACAGAAUCGCAGGGGUUGGAAGGUACCUCAAGAGAUCAUUGAGUCCAACUCCCUGCUAAACUAUGUUCCCUAGAAUAGGUCUCACAGGUAGGCAUCCAGAUGGCUCUUGAAUAUCUUCAUAGAAUGAAAUGCCACAAUCUCUGGGCAAUUUGCUUAAAUGUUCCAUCACCCUUAACAGAAAGAAGUUCUUCCACAUGUUUGUGUGGUACUUCCUAUGUUUUAGUUUUGGGCCAUAUUCCUUGUCCUACCACUAUGCACCACCAAGAAGAGCCUGGCCUCAUCCAUUUGUCUUCCACCUCCCUUUAGAUAUUUAUAAACAUUGAUCAGAUCUCUUCUCAGUUUUCUUUCCCACGAGCUGGACAGACCCAGGUUACUCAGCCUUUCCUCAUACGGGAGUUUCUCCAGGCCCUUAAUCAUUUUUGUAUCCCUCCGCUGGACUCCAUCUAAGAGAUCCCUGUCUUUUUUGAACUGGAGAGCCCAGAACAGGACUUGGUAUCCUAAAUGUGUUCUCAUCAGGGCAGAGUACAUGGGGAGCAUCACCUCCCUUGACCUUCUGUCCAUGCUUUUUUUAGUGCACCCAGGAUACCAUUGGCCUUCUUGGGCACAAGGGCACUUUUGCUGGCUCAUGGCCAACCUGCUGUCCACUAGAACACCCAGGUCCUUCUCUGAACAGCUCUUCUCCAGCAGGUCAUCCCACAACUUGUACUAGUGCAUGUGUUUUUUCUUCCCUAGGUUUCAGACUCUACACUUAUUUUGUUGAACCUCAUCGGGUUCCUCCCUGCCUAGGUCUCAACUAAAGCCUCACAGAAUGGCAACAGAGCUUUCUGGUGUGUCAGCCACCCCUCCCAGCUUUGUAUCAUCAGCAAACUUGCUGAGGGUGGGCCCUAUUCCUUUAUCCAGGUCAUUGACGAAGCUGUUGAACAAGACUGAACUCAGCACUGACUUCUGGGGAGUGCUAGUAGCUACAGGCCUUCAGAAGGCAUUCAGAAUCUCCACCUUCUCAGCCUCUCCUGCUACUGAGGCACCCAUCGCAUGUGUAGGAAACUCACAUUUUUCCAAGUCUUCCUUUUACUUCCUUUUUACUUUUUUACUUCUUCUUUUUCUUUACCUCCUUCACAAAGUUUAAUUCUAAGAGGGCCUUAGCCUUCCUCGUUACUUCCUUACAUUCCUGUAUUCUUCCCAGAUGGACAGGCCCUUUUCCCACAUUUCAUGGACCUUCUUCUUUCUAUUUAGUUUAUCCAGGAGUUAUUUGCUCAUCCACACAGGCCUCUUGCCACCUUUCCCUUAUUUCUUAUUGCACAGAUCUUGAGCUCUGAAGAAGUGGAGUUCACGUUCCCUUAUCUCACCUCAGCACCCUUAUCUUCUAACACUCUAGUCCAUGGGAUACUGCCCAGAAUGUAAGUCUUUGGAAAGGUCUUCAAACUGCUUCAGAAUUGAAGUCUAUAUAAUAAGGGAUUGUAUGUUGAUGUGCAAGACUAGGGUUUUUUUAGUUGUUUUUUUCCCCACAGAUGUUUAAUAUUUGAUUUCCCAUUUUUAGGAGAGAAAGACUUGGGGCAUUUACCUGAUUCAGUCAUCUGAAAGAGUGUCAGAGGAUAAGAUAAAGGACAAUAUAUUUUUGGAUGUCACUAGAAUGAACAGAGUGUUAAGAGGAAUGUCUGUUUCUUGUAGAGAUGCACAAUGUAAUUAUUUCCCAAUUUAACACAUGGUUUUGAUAUAUUGAGAAGUAUUUGCAAUAUGGUUUGUUUAAAAUGAAAAUAUUGUAAUAUUUCAUAAGGAAAGUACUUGUUGGUGGAAGAAAAUACUUAACAAUGUUUUACCAGUUUCCCUUGUUCCUCCAUAAACAUUGGCAGUGUGAAGCACGAAGGUGUUUAACAGCAAUAUGCACCUUUUAACCUUUCUGGACAUCAGUGUUUUUAUGUUUAUGCCUAUUAAAAUUAAUGGGAGCACCUUUAGCUUCAGACAUAGGCUUUUGCCCAAGUGUGGGAGUGGUAACCAAUGCCUGUAAAGGAAAACUUGUAUUACAUGCAGAUUUUGAAGAGGUAUAUUUUGUGCAACUUUCCAACACAUGCAUACUGCAGGAUGCUGAAAACUUUAAGUGGGUUCUUCAAGUCUCCAGCAUGCCUUUGCCAGAAUACAAAUUAUAUUGCCCUACUCUUUUUUUCAUUUGUUCUUUGCAUACACAGAUGAUCUUACAGAGCUGCCUAACAGCUUCCAAAUAGCUAACAAUAAGAUUGGUUUCUGCUAACAUUAACCAUCUUAAAGUGAAACAUAUACUUUAAGCAAUCUGUCAAGGUGUUUUUGUAGCAUCAUGAGGAUAAGUAAUCCCAACAAUUUGGGCUCCGAGUUCUGGAGGUGCAAAUGCAAAACCAGGAAGUUAACAAUUCUCCCUAAAGUGGUAAUGAUAGGAGCACAUCUCGGUGGUGAACUUGUGGUUCUCACUUCUAGCAGCAUUCUCACCUCAACAGCUUGAGGAUUCGCCUGGCAUUGCUGACAGUGGGAACUGGCACGCACAGGCUGUCAAAGUCAGGCCCAAACUUGAAGGUCUUGAAAAUCUGCAUGUUCAACCCCAAACUACACAGAAACACAGCUCCUAAGUGGUCUUCUUCAAUUUUGUCUGUGAACGGUUUCUGAAAUUCCCUCCAUUUUGCCUUCCAAAGGAUGUUGUAUGCAACUGAGCUGCUUUUAUCCUCUUGAAGUAGUUUAUGUAGGCAAGAAAGCAGCCCAUUCAACUGGAAUGAAUAAUGAUAAUGUUGUUUAUGUGCAGAAUACAUUAUUUGAAUCAAUGAAGAAAAGACAUACUGGCUGGGAAUUUGCCUGCUUAUUUCUGCUAAGGAUAUAGAAUCAACCAUAUAACAACAGUGAUCUUUUUUUUCUUCCUCUUCUUACUUGGCAUUUAAGUAAGCCCUCAGACUAGGGAACUUCCAUGAUCAUCUGCAAAAGUUACGUAUGGAAGCUCCCAGCUCAAGGGUAUGGCUGCUUAUGAGCCUUCACACAGUUUCUAUUGUGUGAGCUGGUAGGACACCAGUGACUGAUGCUUGUAGAUGUCCUUUCACAGCCUGAAGGAGUUAAAUAUCAGCUAAUUUUUGUUGUUGUUGUUGGAUAAAUUAAUCUGUUGAGCUCUUUGAUCCCAACCUCUGAGGUGGGAACUUUAAACUUGGUCAGGGUAUUCCUGUUCUAAACGGCACUGCCCUCACUUGGGUGAUAUUGAUUUAUUGUCCUAUGGCUUCCAAAGUGAUUUGCAAAGUGCAAACUGACUGCAAAAUGCUGUCAUUUUGGUUGUGAAACACUUGAUGUCUACCCUACAGGAAGGAAACCAUAACUUUAAAAACUGCUGUUAAUUUUUCCAAAUUUUCUUUUUCUUUCAGGGCUUUUGGUGGAAAGGAAGAAGUAUUCUAAGAUGUUGUCUCAUCAAACUCAAAACAUUUUGCAAGGGGGAAUACAGAGUCCAACAUUAUUUAAAUCCUAAUCAGAGCUUCAGUCGAGUUAUCUCAAUAAAUAGAUGCCCAAAGGCACAAGAACUGGCUCUUCCUGCAGAACUGCAAAUCAGGAAACCCCAGAAUGAGAAAGAGGAAACCAAGAAAACUUGUGAUGAGAUCAGGAGCUCAGGUGCUCAGGUGGGUCUAGGGUUUGAACAUAUAGGGGUUAAAUAAGCUAGCUUUAGAAACUAGGGAAGGAGAACAAUGUCUCAACAUUUCAUGGUCAGCUGUGCAAACACCAAGAAAGGAACAAUACAAAAUGAAUGGCUUUGACCGGUUUGAAUGCAUCACAAGAAGGUCAGACCAAGGAAGACGUCGAGCCUUUGCGAGGAAGACUUCUGAUUUCAUCCCCACAACCACCAGAGGGAGACCCCAACUAUGGACAACGCAUGUGCCAGGGGAGGGGCAGUAUGUAAACAAAUUUCCAGAAGGAUAAUGAAUAUGUAGAUGGGUUCCAAGAAUUCUGCUGAAUAUAUAUGGACUUGGCUUACAAAUUUGUAGCAUUUUUGCUUGCUGGUGUGCAAGUUUGCUGGAGUGAUCCCCCUUGCACCCGGCCGGCCGAAUAAACAUACCUGCUUUAUAACCUAACCGGGUUAUAGAGUUUGAUUCCGCACGUCAGUAAGACUGCACUGUGAUAGGUUCCUAGGAGUCAGACUCAGCAUUGACUGAUGGACAUUAUUUCUGAUGGUGUGAGGUUUUGCUGUGAAACUCUAUAUUGUGAAGUGUUGCUAUAAACUCUUAAAUUAUGGACAUUUGUUGGAAAAAAAUAUCCAGCUGAAGUUAUUAUAUAAAGAUGCAAUCUUUUGCUUAACAAUUUUCUUAACCGCAAGAGGUUGAUUAAAAAUUAAUGCUUGCCCUAUUCUCGUAUUAUUUCCUAAAUAUUUGCUAUUGUGCUUGAUUGGAAAUGAGAUAGAAGGCCAGUCUGACCUUGGAUAUGACUCACCGGAGGCUGUUCUCAUGUUUUUUAAGGCACAAAGCCAAUGCAAGUUGCAUCAAAGCUAGUUAGAAUGUAUUCUGUAAAUACAGCAGUAGUGAAGUAGGAAACAAUGGAAGGGGUUGAUUCACUGCCCAGGGGAAAAAAAGAAAAACAACAGAUAUACUAAGUACUCUAAGGCAAAAACAUUCCAUUUGUUUGUUUCUUUUCAGUCUUUAUAAGGAUGAAAUCAGUCAUAAUGGCUAGUUGUUAUGUUAAAAGGGCAAAAUUAUAGCUCCCGUAGCUGAACAGCAGGCUGGGGAGGGAGGUCAAGUUGUUUUUAAGCCAAAUUGGUGAACCUUGAGGUAGCAGACAGCUGUUUGAAGCAACUACAACCCUGGGGAACUAAGAAGACGCAAACUCCUGGCCAGUUUACUAAUCGUUGAUAUUCAAUAAAAAGAAAAGAAUCAGUGUUUACUUUUUUUUCCACACUGCUAUUGAAGAUGUUUAGUUUGAUUGAUACCCACUGACAGCAAAAAAAACUUGACACGGAACAAUACUCCCUCCAGGGAUACAAUCAGUCCCAGCUGUGGUUAGAUAGUUGUGACUUUUUGCUCUUGCAAAAAUAACUGGGCCAAGAAUGGAAUCCUGUGUUGAACACGAUGAGACUUAGAAGCUGAGAUUAACAUUGUCCUUGAGCGGUAGUCAUUGGAAACCACAUGUUGAAAUGCAGAGCUAGUACACGUCUUUUGAAUAAAAUCAAUAAGCAGAAUGGUGACAGCUUCCACGUAUGCAGUUCUAUUGUUGCUGUCAGAAGACAAAAAUAUAAACAUUUAACUGAUGUGAGACGUGGUUAAAUUGCAGUCCUAUACAGUUUGAACAGAGCUUGGUCAUAAAUCUUAAGACUGGUGAAGCCCUGCAGUUCUAAUACGAAUCAGCAAAUCUUAACAUUUUAAUAUUUAGACUAGCAAGGUAGAAGAUUUACCUUUUCACAUUUAGGCAGAAUUAAGUAAUGCUUUUAUGAGCAUUUAAAUAUGAAAAAUGCACACGAGUAUUUCCAUAAUACUGAACAGUUUAGUAUCAGAUAUGUUUGUAGUUUCCAGUAUUGUGAUAACACCUGAGCAGCAUCCAACUGUGAAAGGCAACACCAGUGCUGUGAUGGGUCCACUUCUGCAUGAUUUUAAGCAAUUAGACAAUACCACAGAUGUCAUUCAAGAAGCAUGUCUUGGAGCAUUAGUACCUCAUGAAACCUUGCCUUGGCAUUCGUUCUGUUUUCCACUUUGAACUGCUGUGUUUAGUUUCACAGUGACCUUUCAGAACAAUGAAAUUUUAUUUACUCUUUGAUCCACUGUCAUAGAGAUUGAAACACUAGUGAAAAAAUGAAAUGCCAGAAUGAGUACCAUGGGGCUAUCUCACAAAUUCCAUGGAUAAACACAUAUUCCUUGAUGCAGGUGGUACUGCUCUCUGAGUGGGAUGAUGGGGAGUGUGUACCCAUACACACCCGUCUUAUGGCUUUCUGCUAAAUACAGAAGACAAAUUUUACCCUCAAAUACUCUUACUGAAUGUAAACACUUAUGAUCCAAAUUUUGCAGUCUUUGCCUUUUUCUAUUACUCAAUGCCCAUUAUAAACUCCAAGUCAGAUUUGCUUAUUCUUAGAAUUAUCCAUAGAUGCUGUGAAGAGGUACUGUGAGUUGGAAGCACACAUUGGUCCUUGCUUUUCUCUCUUCUCAAGAGGAAGCAAGCCUUAGCAGCCUUUCUUCCUCACUCAGCACAGUGCUGCUAUCAGCUCCAGAGUUUAAGGUCAGGGUAAUUAUAUCACAAGUCAAGUUGUAUCGGUGGAAUCAUACACAGAAUCAUAGAAUCAUAGGGGCUGGAAAGAGAUCGUUUCAUCCAACCCCCUGCUAAAGCAGAUUCCUAGAAUAGGAAAGAGUCCAUAGUAUCACCAAGGUUGGAGAUAGAAGUGUUCUGAACAGCCAGCAGAGCAUGGCAUCACACACAAACAGCUCAGUUUAAACAUCAUUAUCUCAUGAAAUUUAAGUAAAGAUUUCCUCUGCAAAGGAACUACUCAAUUUCAAAAAGCUAAACACUGCAUUUAUAAAAUUAACAGGACCAUAAAAAUUAUAAUUAUGUUGAAAAGUCUUUAAGAUUUGUCAUUGAAUUUUAGAUUUUCUUUAGUAUAAAUCUACAGUUAUUUUUGGAUAUAAAAACACAGGGAUGUAGUAAGAAAUUUGAAAAAAAUAGUACUUUCAAGAAAAAUAUGUAGGUAAUUUUCAAAGAAAACUUUAAAGGAUGAAACAUACAUAAUUGCAGUUCAUAACAACCAAUGGAUUUUUAAUAUUAAAAUUUAAUUUACGAAUAUUAUAAAAUCACAUCUGAAAUACUAAUCAUAUUCUUAUCUUGCUGGUUUCCAUUACAAACUUAUGACUGGAUGGAAAUUGGCCUGUUUCUAAAGUUUACGAACCUUUAGAAUAAAACAUCCAUAACUUAUUUGUCCAUUAGAGUGUACAGUAUCAAGAACAAUCAAACAAGUAAAUGAACAGAAAGGCAACAGAAGAGCUGCAUUUUCAAUAUGUAGUGCAAUAGGUAAUGGAAUUACCCUAAUAAAAUUUACUUGUAAAUCCCACCAAACUAAAUGAGUAAGCAAAUAAAGAGGUUGUACAUGCAACUCAAGGGUUUUAUGAAGCUUUUCCAUCUUCCAUUUGGUUUAGUUAUCAGCUCAGCAGACUUGGUCCUGUUGGAAGAAUCCAUUUGAGCACUCAGACCCACACUGGUUAACAUAUGGUUAAUGCAUUGAAGAGGAAUUUCAAUUAGAGUCUUCUGAUCAGGGGGAAGUUCUUUACCAAGAGAGUGGUGAGGUGCUGGAACAGGCUGGCCAGAGAGGUUGUGGAUACACUGUCCCAGGAGGUGUUCAAGACCAGGUCGGAUUGACUGCAGGACUUGGGACCUGUAUUCCAGCAGGAAGAAGCACACACCUUGUUAUUCAGCAUGCACUAGGAAGAGUGCACAUUCUGAAUGUGCCCCUCUGCAUCUGCUCAAAACCUGGGGACAGUUGAUGCUUUCUUAAGCAAUAAGUAGAACAACACUAGAAAUAAGUGAAAAGUCAUAUUUUAACUUAUUUUACAUUCUGGUAGUGCUUCCCCUUGUGGAAUUUUUUGCUACAUGCUGUCGAUCAGCAGACUUCCCUGCCCUCAAAGCAAUGUGAGAUUCACAUUUCUCAAAAAAUUACUACCUUUGAAAUAUUCUGUGGUGCAGAUAAACACAAAGGUUUUUUUGUUUGUUUGUUUGUUUGUUUGUUUGUUUUCCUUACCAUAUUUUGUUUCCAAAACAUUCAGGACUGUAGAUGUGUUUCUCAGAAAUCCAUCUUGCAUGCUUUUAUGGAGUAUGGCUAAAAUACUUCAUCUGCAAAACAAAACAGAACAAAACAAAAAAGGGCCUUUAUUACUUUAUUAUAUAUAUAUUAUAUAUUUCUUUAUUACAAGACAAAUACCCUGAAAUAAAUUGCUUGUUUCCAUAGAGGCCAAACAAAAUGAUCCACAGUUGAGCUAUUUGUUUUUUCUCAGUUUCACUUCACACUCUAAAAAAAGCAAGAACCAAAUAAAAACUGUUUCUAAGGUGUGGAAAAUGCUUUCUGGUGGUGGUGCUAGUCACAGGAACAUUUUCAUAAGUAGCUGUUUAUGUAAAUAUUUACCUAAAAAUGCAAAAGAGGGUGGAACCAAACUAUAUUUUCAUUCAUGGUGAUAUGUACUUUUUAAAAAUUGCAAAGAACAGAAUUCAGAAUGUUUGACCCCAGUGCCAUCCAUGGACAUCUCCGGGUAAUUUUUUAAUUCAGAAAUUAAUUCAAAUAUACUUAAGCAGUGGGAAACAUCUCCAUGAAGUGACACACCGACUUCUGUAGAACCGAUAGCCUCUUUCACUGCAGUGCCAGAAUGUCAUGCAACUUCCCAUUAGCACAGGAGGAUGGAAAGUAUUUACUGCUUCAACCAGAGCUGCAACCUUCACUCAGGAGCAUUGUUUUACACUUUGCAAAACUCUGUUUUUUGUUUUGUUUUGUUUUGUUUUGUUUUGUUUUUGUUUGUUUGUUUUUUGUUUUGAGGAAAGCAUCUGAGUAUUGGAUGGGGCCCUGGGCAAUCUGAUCUAGUACCUGAUCUAGCAGCUGGGAACCCUGCCUGCAGCUGGGGGCUUGAAACUUUGUGAUCCUUGAGGUCCCUUCCAAUCCAAGCCAUUUUAUGAUUCUGUGGUAUGCUACAGAAAACUACCAUUUUGCCAUGAUAAAACUUGUGGUUGUUUUUGUUAAUCUGUGAUUAGAAACAUCUGCCUGUGGAAGCCCCAUCGGUAAUGCUUCCUUUUAUUCUUUACACUAUAUUGCCCUGUUUGCAGCAGGCUGAUUUUUGGACAGACUCACCCAUAUGACUGCUCUUGAUUUCUUCAGGUUUCUGACAGGUCAUUUAUCAUUUUUAAAUUUUUGCAUUUUGAAUGAAAAUACUUGAAAGCAGAACUGAUCCCUAAGCUUUUAAGUUUAUCCUGAUUAUAUCAGUCCAAACAAUCACAGACCUAUAAAAUGCUCCAGGUUGAUAGAAACCUUGCAAUGUCACCUGGUCCAAAAUUACACAGAAAAGAGAUCCUACAGGAAUUCAUCUAGGAAUCUGUCCAGUCACAUCUUGAAAACCUCUUGUGAUGGGGACUCCAUCAUGUCCCUGGGAUAGUAUUCCAGCAAUUUCUUGUUCAAUUGUAAAAAAUUUCUUGCUUAUUAUCAAAAUGAAACCUCCCUUGUGCAACUUGUACCCAUUGCCCCCUGUCUUCUCACAUGGCUUCCUGUGAAGAGUGAGAGCCUGUCAUCUUUGUAGCCUCCAUUUAAGCACUAGCAUCCCAUGAUAAGGUUUAUCUGAGGUUUCCCUUCUCCAGGGUGAAAAGACCUAGCCACCAGCCUAGGCCCACCAGGACCUCCACGUCCCUUUCACCGUGGUUUCUCCCCAGCCACCAGACUGCAGCCCAUUCUGAACUCUUUGAACAUGUUGUCUGAUGUGUGGCACCUUUCACUUAUUUUUGUUAACUUUCACAUUAUUCUCCUUUGUCCACACUUUCACAUUUAACAUUAGCUAUUGAAAAUAAACAUUUAGUUCCCAGCAGUUGUUAAAAUACCAUUAUGGAUUGUAUUUAAAUUUAUGAUUUACAUAAAGAGUAAUUAUGUUCAUGUGAGAUCACAGUAAUGAUGAUGAUGACAAGAUCAAGAAGCAGAUCUGUGAGCACAAAUGUCUGCCACCUGAUUUUAAACAUCAGAUGACCUAAAUGGAAGCUUACAUAAAUUUAUAGCAUCAUUUUGUUAACUCAAUAUAAAUAAUCCUUUAAAUUUUAUUCUCCAUUUGAAGAUAAAGUAAAUUAUAGUUGACUCUCCUUGACACUGUUGAUACCAUAGCUGCACUGGCUUCAUCACUUCAUUGGCAACUAAUGUGAAAUGCAUUGAGUAAGAAGGAUAUAAAAAUGCAUGGGUGGAAGAACAGUCUGCAGCUUGCUGCCUGCCAUCAAACUUUGUGUGUGCUUUCCACAUUUUCAGCAUCUUCAUCAUCCUACACCCUCUGUCAUGGGUUUUGCUCAAGAGUCUGGCUGCCAUGAUAUGGACCAAAACUAAUGUUUCCACCUAGGCUGUGAUGGAUUGUUCCAGCUGGAGGGAGCUGCCCUAGAUAUUACAGAACCACAGAAUUGUAGGGAUUGGAAGGGACUUCUGGAUGUCAUCAAGUUCAACCCCCCUGCUAAAGUAGGUUUCCUACAGCAGGUCACACAGGUAGGCAUCCAGGUGGGCCUUGAAUAUCUCCAUAGAAGGACACUCCACAACAUAUUUGAGCAGCCUGUACCAACGCUCCAUCAUUAUGAUAGUGAAGUUCUUCCUUAUAUUAGCAUGGAAAUUUCCAUAUCAAAAUUUCUGCCCAUUGCCUCUUGUUCUAUAGUUGCUCACCACUGAAAACAGUUCACCCCCAUCAACUUGGCUCCUGCAUUUUACGUGUUUAUAAACAGUGAUGAGAUCCCCUCUCUAUACCUUCUCUUCUACAGGCUGAGUAGUACCAGGCCUCCCUGCUCUUCCUCAUAAAGGAGGUGCUCUAGAUCCUUUAUCAUCUUUGUGGCCCCCUGCUAGACUGUCAUCAGUAGUUCCCUGUCUUGAACUGGGAGCCCAGAACUGGACACAGUACCCCAGGUGUGGCCUCACCAGAGCAGAGUAGAUGGGGAGGAUCACCUUUCUCAUCCUGCUGGCCACACUCUUUAAUGCACCCAGGCUACAGGCCUCCAACCAGACUCUGUGUCAGUGAUCACAAUUCUCUGAGCAUUACAUCAUACUACAAUGUAUUAUUAUGAAAUAAUUUUAAUUUAUUAGCAUAAGAAAAGUUCAAGGAUUGUUUCCACUAACCUUAAUUGCUUUACUGAUAUUAAAUAAUAAGAUUCUGUUAUUUUCUUGUAUUUGGCAUUUCCUUCUGCACUUUUACUCUGAUUUGCCUUGGCCUUCUGCCAAAUGUGUAUCAGGUGUAGAGAAUCUGCCCUAAACCCCAAUUUUCCUACAAAAAAAGAGAGAGAUAACUGUAUUUAAGAGAAUUAUAUAAAAGUACAGCAAUAAAUUACUUCUAUGGGCAUAUGAAAAGCAAAACAAUAGCUUUAAAUUGACACCCCAGGUAAGAUGCUUGCAUCAACCAUGAAUUCAUACUGCUUUUAUGUAAUUUAAAAAAGAGAGUGUGUGGAGUACUGCAGCAUGUAGCAUUUUACAAUAAAACAGCUAGAAUCUGAUGCUGCAGAAGAGAGAGGAUGCGAAUACCUUCUCCUCUCCUGUGAAAUCAGCCUGGGGACCUCCAUUCUCUGCAAGAUGUAAGCUGGAGAUACAUUGGAUGUAUCACGUACGUAGUCAUGUCACUACAUUGAUGAAUGUAGUCACUUAAAAAUAGUGUGGCCAGCAGGAGCAGGGAGGUAAUCGUCCCCCUGUACUCAGCACUGGUGAGGCCGCACCUCGAGUACUGUGUUCAGGUUUGGGUCCCUCACUACAGGAAAGAUAUUGAGGUCCUGGAAUGCGUCCAGAGAAGUGCAAUGAAACUGAUGAAGGUUCUGGAGCACAAGUCUUACGAGGAGCGGUUGAGGGAGCUGGGAUUUUUCAGUCCGAAAAAGAGGAAGUUCAGGGCAGCCCUCACUGCACUCUACAACUUCCUGAAGGGACGUUUUGAUGAGGAGAGGUUUGGCCUCUUCUGCCAGGCAACAAAUGGGAUGCGAGGAAAUGGCCACAAGUUGUGUCAUAGGAGGUUUAGGUUAGACAUGAGGAAAAACUUUUUCUCUCAGAGAGUGGUCAGGCACUGGAAUGGCUGCCCAGGGAUGUGGUGGAGUCACUGCCCCUGGCAGUAUUCAAGAGGUGUCUGGAUGAGGAGCUACGAGAUAUGGUUUAGUGGCUUGUGGUAGUAAUGGCAAUGGGAUGAUGGUUGGACUAGAUGUUCUUGUGGGUCCUUUCCAACCUUCUGAUUCUAUGAUUCUAUGAUAAGAUUUUAACUAGCAUACAGAAUACAAUCAGAACCAGGACAGCUGACCUAAACUGGCUUAAGAGGUGUUCCAUUCCACAUAGCAUCAUGAGAAAAAACUAUAAACUGUGAAGAGCUGUUCAGGGGUUAGUCACUGCUCAGGGGCUGUAUGGGCACUGGUCAGUGGGUGGUGAGCAAUUGCUUUGUACAUCACUUGUUUUGUAAAUAUGUAUUAUUAUCAUCUCUGUUACUUUUCUCUUCAUUUUCUGCCUCAGUAAAUAAUUUUUUGUCUCAAAUUA
ensembl:lncRNA